UUCAUUCACAUGCAAUUUAAAGAAUUUUUUAAAACAUUUAAAGCAAUUUAAAAACACAAAACUGAGAUAUUGAAAAUACAAUAAAAAACAACAAACUAUUUCAAAUGAAACAUGGAAAGGAUACACACUAGAAAAGGAAAUUAGAGAAUACAAGAAUACAGAUAUCCGAUCUAUACAGUGUUUCAAGCGUUUCUCAAAGCAGCUGUACCUAUUUUUGUGGAACAAGAAUCUGUGCUUAACGCUUUGGUAGAUAGUCUGGAGGAAUUGCUCAAACAAACGAUUCAUUUGUCUGGAAACAAAGUGAAUGUUGAGGCUUAGAUCGUAGGAACCAACGGUUUCGUGUUUGGAUUUCAAUCGAUCGAUGAAAAAUAGAAUCUGACCAAAUUAAACUUUUGUCUCGAAUCGAGGAUUAAAAAAAAAAAUGAAACAACACACAUGGAAAGGAAGGAUAUUUCUUACUGAUCAAAGACGUACGAAAAUUUCUUAUAAAUAUUUCUACACUUGUAUUGAACCGAAGAAAAAUAUAAUAGAUAUAAUAAAUUGUGACAAUUUUAACUACGUAAAAAACGUAGGAUUACAAGUGUAUCGUUGGAGAAGAAGAAAAAAAAUGGUAACAGCUCAAGGAUCGAAGUAAAAUUAGAUUUGAUGACCACCAAUCACAGAUUUUUAUUCGAACGAGACGCCCACAAGAUUACAUCGAAGUCGGUGAUGAGUAAAAAUAAAAAAUGAUUCCCGACAUUUUCUCGAAUUCUUUUCGCAUAUCUUCCUGUUAUUUGAGACCACGGUGUUGUUUAACAAUAAUUGUAUCUGAUGAGGAAGACAUGCUGGGUCGAGGUAGUUGGUCGGUAUCCAACAUACUGCUGCUGAGAAAUUCGUGCGUUGUUUGCAAGUUAAAUUAAUAAUGGUCAUACUGUUUACAUUUCCACAUUUAUAUUGCGGUACAAUGACUGGUUAACUUAUUGUUAAUAAUAUUUUACGACCACCGAGGAUACAUUUUGUAUGCAAAUGUAUUGUUUUCUUGAAGUUGAUUUAAAACGUGGGAUAUUUGUGAUCAUUGAGAAGGAAUGGAAUAUUGAAAGCAGCUCGAAGAGAGAACAGACGUGCUUAUAAAGCCAGUUUGAGAUGUGUAAAUCAUCCUCGUAACAC